GGAGCGGAGCGGAGCGGAGCGGGACGGCCCGCGGCACCGGGCACGGCUCGGGGACGAGCACGGCACCGGGCACGGCUCGGUACCACCCCGGGGACAGCUUUGCCACGACGGGACGAGCGGCUCCGUGGCAAUCCCUGAACUCCAAGUUAAUCCUGCUGCGUGUUAGCGGGAUUCAACAGCCCAAGGCUUCAAGCAGCCUCCCUCCCUGCCUUCCUUGGAAAUGCCAUGACUCACCGGAGGCUGCAGAGGAUGAAUACCUCCGGAGUGACUGCUCCAGCACUGCCCACGGCAAAGGCAACCGCAGGUGAGAGCCUGAAAGCGUGUGGCAGGGCUCAGGUGGAGCUGCAGGGAAAAAAAGCUGCUUUGCCAGGAAAAAAAGCUGCUCGCCAGUGGAAAAGGCUCAGUGCAUUGAAAAUCUGGGGGCAAACAGGGCUGCUGACCAGCUCGCCGGUGUCACCAUCAGCCCCAGGACUUGGAGGAAGGCAGCGAGGCUCCUUGGGUCCAACGGGAUCAGCAGAGCCACAGAUAACCCACUCAAGAUGUGGAUAUUUGGGAAGCAUCUUGCCUUUGGUGACCACGCUCACGGCAGAGCAAGCGCUUGCGUGACCUGCCACGCCGAGCGACGGAAACCUGGUUUUCUCCUUGCAGAAGUUAGGGCCUGUCCAUGCCGAAAAUAAUUAAGUUGAUGUGCGAUUUGAAGGAGAAGAAGAAUUCCUGGUUGUUUCCUGGGUGGGUACUUCCAUUACAAGCCCCAAAAGUAUGCAGGGCCUUUUGUUUAACCAAAACCAUGUGUUCUGUGCUCUAGAUACCACUGACUUCAGCUGAAGUCAUUUGGGUCCUUAGAGAACAAUUCAUUUUUCAGUUAGGUCAGAAUAAAUGCUAGUCCUCAGCCUCACUGUA